rnacentral:rRNA from 1 species
AUUGAACGCUAGCGGGAUGCCUUACACAUGCAAGUCGAACGGAGUGGCGAACGGGUGAGUAAUGUAUCGGAACGUGCCCAGUAGCGGGGGAUAACUACGCGAACGCGUAGCUAAUACCGCAUACUCUUGGAGCGGCCUCUACCGGAUUGGCGAGUUGGUGGGGUAACGGCUCACCAAGGCGACGAUCCGUAGCUGGUUUGGGGGGACGACCAGCCACACUGGGACUGAGACACGGCCCAGACUCCGACGGGAGGCAGCAGUGGGGAAUUUUGGACAAUGGGGGAAACCCUGAUGCAGCCAUCCCGCGUGUGCGAUGAAGGCCUUCGGGUUGUAAAGCACUUUUGGCAGGAAAGCGGUACCUGCAGAAUAAGCACCGGCUAACUACGUGCCAGCAGCCGCGGUAAUUC